rnacentral:rRNA from 1 species
UGGGGAAUUUUCCGCAAUGGGCGAAAGCCUGACGGAGCAAUGCCGCGUGGAGGUGGAAGGCCUACGGGUCGUCAACUUCUUUCUCGGAGAAGAAACAAUGACGGUAUCUGAGGAAUAAGCAUCGGCUAACUCUGUGCCAG